rnacentral:lncRNA from 1 species
GCCGCUGCGCGGGAGCCUGGGAGCCGCCCCCCCCGGCGCCCCGGCCUCCCCGCGCCGCCCGGUAGCUGUUGAAGCCCACGGCGCGCGCCUCUCCCGGACCCUGCAGGGUAAAAGAAUAUCCUAUUUCUACAUUUGUAUCUGAAAUCAGCGUGUAAUUUUCCGGCCACAUGGAUGAGUGCCAACUUUUGCAUUUCCAGUGCGUAUCCUAUGACCAUUCUACCUGGGAACAUCCUUCAAAGAGUUCAUGCGUCUUACCGAGGACACCUGACCUUUUGAAGCCUCAUAAUUCACAUCUAGAUGUCACCGGUCUUUCCCAUGUUAACAGUUCUGACUAUGUUUUAUUAUAUGUGCCUUCGGCGCCGAGCCAGGAUAGCUACACAAGGAGAAAUAAUGAACAGCCAUAGGACUAUAGAAUCAAACAGCCGGGCUUCCCCUCUCAAUGCAGAGGUGGUCCAGUAUGCCAAAGAAGUGGUUGAUUUCAGCUCCCAUUAUGGGAGUGAGAAUAGCAUGUCCUAUACCAUGUGGAACUUAGCAGGUGUCCCAAACGUGUUCCCAAGUUCUGGUGACUUCACUCAGACGGCUGUGUUUCGAACUUACGGAACGUGGUGGGACCAGUGUCCUAGUGCUUCUGUACCGUUCAAGAGGACGCCACCUAACUUUCAGAGCCAAGACUACGUGGAACUUGCUUUUGAACAGCAGGUGUAUCCCACAGCUGUUCACGUUCUGGAAACUUACCAUCCCUAUUCCCCAAGUCCACCAGCAGAAGUCAGAUGGGAGAUUCUUUGGUCAGAGAAACCUACGAAGGUGAAUGCUUCCCAGGCUCGCCAGUUUAAACCUUGUAUUAAGCAGAUAAAUUUCCCCACAAAUCUUAUACGGCUGGAAGUAAAUAGUUCUCUUCUGGAUUAUUACACUGAAUUAGAUGCAGUUGUAUUACAUGGUGUGAAGGACAAGCCACUGCUUUCUCUCAAGACUUCACUUAUUGACAUGAAUGAUCUAGAUGAAGAUGACUAUGAAGAAAAGGAUGGUUGUGGAAUGGACAAUCUGAACAAAAAGUUUAGCAGUAUUGCCCUCAGGGAAGGGCCAAGUAAUGGAUAUUUUGAUAAACUACCUUAUGAGCUCAUUCAACUGAUUCUGAAUCAUCUUACACUACCAGAUUUGUGUAGAUUAGCACAGACUUGCAAACUACUGAACCAGCAUUGCUGUGAUCCUCUGCAGUACAUCCACCUCAAUCUGCAACCAUACUGGGCAAAACUAAAUGACACCUCUCUGGAAUUUCUGCAAGCUCGCUGUACUCUCGUCCAGUGGCUUAAUUUAUCUUGGACUGGCAAUAGGGGCUUCAUCUCUGUUGCAGGAUUUAGCAGGUUUCUGAAGGUCUGUGGAUCUGAAUUAGUACGCCUUGAAUUAUCUUGCAGCCAUUUCCUUAAUGAAACUUGCUUGGAGAUUAUUUCUGAGAUGUGUCCAAAUCUACAGGACUUAAAUCUCUCAUCCUGUGAUAAACUACCACCUCAGGCUUUCAACCACAUUGCCAAAUUAUGCGGCCUUAAACGACUCAUUCUCUAUCGAACAAAAGUAGAGCAAACAGGCCUGCUCAGCAUUUUGAACUUCUGCUCAGAGCUUCAGCACCUCAGUUUGGGUAGUUGUGUCAUGAUUGAAGACUACGAUGUGAUAGCCAGCGUAAUAGGAGCCAAAUGUAAAAAACUCCGCACUCUGGAUCUGUGGAGAUGUAAGAAUAUCACCGAGAAUGGGAUUGCAGAGCUGGCUUCUGGGUGUCCGCUUCUGGAAGAACUUGACCUUGGUUGGUGCCCCACUCUGCAGAGCAGCACUGGGUGCUUUGCCAAACUGGCCCGCCAGCUUCCGAACUUGCAGAAACUCUUCCUAACAGCUAACAGGUCUGUGUGUGACACAGACAUUGAAGAACUGGCAUGUAAUUGUACCAGAUUACGCCAACUGGACAUACUAGGAACAAGAAUGGUAAGUCCAGCAUCCUUAAGAAAACUCCUGGAAUCUUGUAAAGAUCUUUCCUUGCUCGAUGUGUCCUUCUGUUCCCAGAUUGAUAAUAGAGCUGUGCUAGAACUCAAUGUGAGCUUUCCGAAAGUGUUCAUAAAAAAGAGCUUUACUCAAUGACUUAAUAGAUGUUCUAUAAUAAAAUUAAUGUGCUUUCGUAGGGUUUUGUUUGCGGGUUGGUUUUGUUUUGUUUUUAUAAUGGUGGGAAUGUCUUUGUAUCCCAUUAAGACAUUAGUGACUUUUAAAGAAAAAUA